UCAUGCCCUAGCCCAACACUCAUCUCCUUCUUCUCCCCACCAUCAGUCACGCCUCCCUUCAGUCCCUCACUCCUCCUCACUGCUCGUCUCCCUCUCUCAAUACUCAACUGUUCGAAAUACGCCCCCCCUUCUCUCUCUCAGCCAUCAGUCAGCCAACUCCCGCCGCCGCAGCUCCCUCCGGCGAGGCAGCCGUCGACCGGCCUCCUUCCUUGGCAACGACGAUAGGUACCGCCGCCGCCUCCCUCCGUUCUCACUCAGUCCGCUCCCGGCGGCUGCAGCAGCAAGGCCGCCGCCGACCGCGACUCCCUCACUCUCUGCUCACUCCGACCGACAGCAGUAGAAGAACCACCGCCGUCGCCGUCCUUCCCUCGACAAAAUCCAGCCCAGACCCGGCUCAGAGCGGCAACAAGGCCCUUGCCUCGCCGCCUCUCCCUCAAAUCUCCGGCGACAGCAGGCUUUGCCGCCGUCGACUCUCCUUUUCCCUCCACUGACUCAACCCAUCUCUCUCUCUCUUCUGUGACAGUGGCGAACCACCACCGCCACCUCUCUCUCUCGCUCAACUCUCUCUCAUUGAAUCAGACCGGCGAGCAACCAUGAAGGCCGCUGCCGUUGUCGACUCUUUCUCUUCGGCUGGUAACAGCCGCCCACCGUGUAGCUCGCCGGAGGAGCAGCAGCGACAAGCCGCGCCACCCUCGGCUUUCUACACACACCAGGACACAUAGACGGAGGUAGCACGCAGCCGCCGUCCACCGACUCUCUCUCUCAAGCCGUGGCCGGGCAGCAGCGGCACCACCGCCGUGCUCUGCCUCCCUCCGCUGAACUUUGGCCGACGGCAGCAGCUUCAUGCCGCCACCAUCGCCGCCCUCUUAUCUCCCUCGGAACUCUCUCCCGGCUCUCUUUCUCUAUGUGAGAACAGAGCACCACAGACAAGCCUCAAUUUCCGGCAACCGCAACGAAGUCACGGCCGUGGUCCUUCCCGACUCGACACAGCAAGCAAAAACAAGCUUAAAACUCAUUUCAUUUUUUUUCUUCAUUCGUUUCUUAUUCAAACAUGUAUGCAGAUGUAUAUGAAUGCUUUGUUCAAAAGUCUUCGUUCAAUUUAUAAGUGAGAGUAAGUGACGUGCAUACACAAAAACAUGAAUUGUUGUCUGUUGUACAUUAGAGGUUUGAGUACUGGAGGAAAUCACUGAAACUGAAUUUGGGUGCUAACCGUGAAUGGAGGUAAAAUGGACAGAGUGAUUUGUAGAUGAAAUCUUUAGAGCUUUCAGCUGAGUUUGUGGAGUCCGUGUGGUAUAGCUGAACUUCUGUGGGUGUAGCUCCGCACUUAGUUCCUUGGUAUGUAGGAGAAAUGGUAAGUGGAAGGAAAUGGGUAUUUUGUUGGAGAAAUAGGCAUGGCUAAAGCUUAUUUUGGUGGGGGGCAAAGGAUCGUGUGUAGUGUGGGUGGAAAGUGGGGAAAGUGGAAAUUGGUGGGGAAAAAGUAUCGUGUGGUGUAGUGUAGUGUAGUGUGGGUGGAAAGUGGGGAAAGUGGAAAUUGGUGGGGAAAAAGUAUCGUGUGGUGUAGUGUAGUGUGAGUGUAAAGUGUGAGUGUAGAGUGUGAGUGGAAAGAGUGAGUGUAAAAAAAAUAAAUAAAAUAUAAUGAAAACUGUAAUAAUCGUUCAGUGUGCGCUUAAAUAAAUAACUCGUGUAGAUACUAAAUGUUAAAUUAAAUAAAUAUGCAAUGCAUAUAAAUUUAAUAACUAAAUUUAUAAAUGUUUUUUUUUUAAACACUUUUGUUGGAAUUAAAAUAAAUUCAUUUUCUUUAUAUCCGGCGUGAAUCAUCCUGACUUCUAAGUUCAAAAUAAUUCUAAAUUUAGCUAAGAAAUAACGGGGUGUUACAUCCCUCCCUCCUUAUAAAAAUUUCGUCCUCGAAAUUGCAUACUUGGGAAAUCUAGUUUGGAGUACUAGACAUUCACUAUCAGUGCACCUACAUAGCUUGAUGCUUAUCAUAUUUUCUAAUCGUGAGAAUGCUACGUCUCAUGUCUCGAGAACUGUUGACAAACAAACUCAUUCUAAUCAUACUAUGCUUAUCGUGAUCAAAGAAGAUCUUAUUGGGACAACUAUAUAGUACGAGUUUAUACAUUGGGAUGACGAAAUACACAAGGUAAUCUAAUUGACAAUCACCGAGAUCUUAGUUAUGUGGGCUGGCCAGACCCAGCACAACGAAUCACUCAGUCAAAUGGGAGCUUCGCCCCCAAUCAUGUCAACUUCUUAUCUCUUAUAAAGCUCUAAUUCAACUUCUAACUUAAAGCACUUACUUCUAAGUACUUCAAUCAUAAAUCAUUGGUAUCAUAUAAGUCCAUUCUAUGUCGUUCUAGCGGUGCUAUCACGACUAACAUUCUUAAGACAUUCUUGGGUGGUUCUCAAACGGUUUGUAAAAGAACUUAUCAUUCUAAUCAUAUAGGCAGUGAACCUAAAAUGAUAACAUAAAGCUUUCUCAUCAUUCAUUCAUACAUACAUACAUACAUAUAUUUGCUUUCUUUGAAAUUUUGAGUCAUAUGGACAUUAAAUGUCCCUUUCAUGAAAAACUUUGCUUAUGCCGGAAAGAUUCAAGGAAUCUAACUCGACCAUACAUACAUACAUACAUUGAUUCGUUAAGGGCUCGGGUUGUCCCAAACACGAAAUACAUUCAUUGAGUCGUUAUGGGUUCGGGUAGUCCCAAACACGACAAAAAGCAUUCACAUAGCAUUGUAAUCAUAAGGCGCACAUUUUCUUGAAAACUUUCAUAACAUCUGAAAUACAUAUAUGUAUAUUUUUGAAACUAUUAUCGUACCUUUGUUGCGGCAGUGUGACGGCGAGCUGAGGGCUACUGACAUUCUUAGAAGUCUAGAGAUACUAUUCUAGACUCGACAUCAAAAGCUUAUGGUUAUCAGAGUCAUGAAAGAAAACUUAUGCUCUGAUACCAUUCUGUCACACCCCAAUUCUUGAAUGAAUAAAUAUAAUCGAGGUGCAACUAAUUCAUAGAAAUAAACAAGGAACAACCUUGUUAAAACCCGAAAUAAGAUAGAGAGUCGGGCUAUGCCCCUUUGGAUCACAAGUUUUGUUUCAUGCUUCUGACAACCGACAUUCAUUAGCAUAAAUUUAGUAGUGAAGAGUCUAAGCUCGGUCAGGUAUAUCAUUUGAAAUUUAACAUGAAGAUCUUAAGUUGAGAAAACAAAAGACUGAUAUGAGUAAUUGCUACAGCGGAAGUCUAACAUAGGAAUUUAUCGCUAGCCUCAGCUCCGUCCCGUCAGCACCGGCCAGCCAACCUGAAAACAUUUGAAAGUAUUUUUGGGCUAAGUACUAAUGUACUUAGUGGGCAUGCAUUUUCAGAAACAUCUCAUAUUUAAUAAAGACAGUUUAUCCAAUCAUACUUGACAUGACUUAGAAGGUUUUAAAUUGAAAGAACUUCUAAGCAUGUUAAAAUAAUUUCUUUCAUUUGUGCGCACAUGUCACACUCCCUUUCUGUUACUCGCUGUGAUCCCGGACCUUUUAGCCACCGACGGAUCCAUAUCUCCCGCUUUACUUGAACUGAGGGCGUAACCCAGACAAGUUCCAUUUUGGGACCCAAUGCUCCGGAACACAUCCCGUCGAGCACCCUUAUAACGCCUCAUACAUGAUUAGUGCCCGAAUGGAGAUCAACCCACCGAGUCAGCUAAUAGGUGUACACAAUUCUCAAAUAACGUGUUAGGUCAUAAGAGAACCUCGAUUGAUUCAUUGUUGCGAGCCUUAAACAGAGCAGAGUGCACAUAAACAUUUUAUUGGAUAAACAGUUUUCAUUUCAUUGAAUAAACAAUUUGCAUUUCAUUGAAACAUUUAGAGCUUAAUAACUCAAUCAUACUUUAUACAUUUGGAAAGUAAGCCCACCUGGAUAGGCAAAGCCUGAAGAUCAUAAUCACAUAACCUGUCUUGGGAAAGCAGCGCUAAUCCCCCUGGUCACAAAGCCUACAAGAAAUUCUAUUCUUAAUAGGUCUCGUGAAGCUAAUCUUAAGUCAUGGUGAAGUGCUUAAUAUUCUAUGAUUCACUUAGCCGGGUUUUCAAAAUUUAAUGAAUAAAUAAUUGAAAACUAAAUUUCUUGAGUUAAGGACACCAACAAUAUCCUUACUCGAUUUUCUUUAAAUAAUUGGAAUUAUAAUUAAAACCAAUUAAAUCAUAAAUACUGUUAUUGCAAAAUAUAAUGCAAAUCAUGUCAUGUAAUAAGUAAUUUACUCAAAAUAUGCACAUAAUAAUAAUUUAAUAUUAUUAUGAAAACUAGUCUUUGAAAAUAAUUAAUUAAACUAAUUAAUAGUUCAAUUAAUAAAACAUAAGACAACCCAAUUAAAUUAAUUGAAGGUAGUCCAAAGUCCUUAAAUAAAAUUAGGGCCCAAAACAUUUAUUAAAACAUUGGCCCAUCUGAAAAAUAAUUAAACAAACUCGCCCAAUAGACUCGGCCCAACACUCAUGCCCUAGCCCAACACCCAUCUCCUUCUUCUCCCCAUCAGUCACGCCUCCCUUCAGUCCCUCACUGCUCCUCACUGCUCGUCUCCCUCUCUCAAUACUCAACUGUUCCGAAAUACGCCCCCCCCUUCUCUCCUCAGCCAUCAGUCAGCCAACUCCCGCCGCCGCAGCUCCCCCGCGAGGCAGCCGUCGACCGGCCUCCUUCCUUGGCAACGACGAUAGGUACCGCCGCCGCCUCCCUCCGUUCAGACCCAGUACACCCCUCUCCUCCUCGGCGACGACGAAAACGCCGCCGCCUCCCUCUACCUCUCUCUCUCUUGGUCCAUUUCCGGCGACUGCAGCAGCAAGCUACCGCCGACCGCGACUCCCAUCUCUCCCUCCGUCCGUGGCCGAGCGACAGCGGCAGAGCCGCCGCGCCCUGGCCUCCCUCUGUUAAACCCAGCCACCGCCCCAACCUCUGUUCCCGAUGGCCGACGACCCCCAGGCCGCCGCCGCCCUCUCCUUCCCCACUCUUCACCGUGGCUAGGCAGCAACGGCAGAGCCGCAGCGCCUAGCCUCCCUCUCGACUCCCGCCUACAAGCAGCCCAAAACCGACAGACAGGGAAACAAAAAUAAAGCUUCAAAAUUAAAUCUUUUCUCUUUCUUCUUUUCUUUGAAAACAGAAAUUCAUGUACAAUGAAUGGAUCGUGCAUAUGUAUAAGGUCGUGUAUCAUUACAAUUCUUGCGAAAAUUUGCAAUUGAGUUA
rnacentral:lncRNA from 1 species